AGUUCAUGUGUAAGUCCUUGCCCUUGAGAACUCCGGCGUGUGAGGGUCCCUCUCCGGAAGCUUUCAUACUGCCACCCGAAUCCCUGCCUCCAUCCUUCAGUGAGUGACUUAAAGGAUGUUAGCUCUCAGCUACUGCUCCUGCACCAUGCCUGCUGCCGUCCCCCACUAUGAUCUUCAAGGACUUAGCCUCUGAAACUACAGACGUGAUAACCUAACCAGCUGGGGAUUCUCAUGGAGAACAGAACUGCCAUUAAGCUCUUCCCUGUCCAUGGACUUCCUCUGUUCAAGUGAUGGCAGCACUCGUGAGACCUGUGAUUGAUGACGUCACAUACCUGUACAUGCUGAAGACUGUGUUGCCAUUGUGCAUAAGGUUUUGAACUACUAGCAAUACAAGAGAAAAAAACAGAAAUAUCUACAAGAAAAAAACUAAAGAUGCAAUGGGCCAUUCAUGUUUCUUUUCUAUAAAGAUAUCAGCUAUGAAGAUCCUUCUGAUGUUGAGCCACAAAAGAACAAUUAUGCUUUGUUACGUGUCAGAGAUGCAUAUUUGAUGGCAAUCAGAGAUGCCCAUUCAAAUACUUAGAGACUGGUUCAUAGAUGAAAAGCAAAGACAUGAAAAUUAAAGGACUUCAAGAGAUA